rnacentral:rRNA from 1 species
AGUAUUAAAGGCAGUUCCAGGGUUGAAGCCCUGGGAUUUCACCUCUAACUUACUAAUCCGCCUACGUACGCUUUACGCCCAGUAAUUCAGAACAACGCUAACCCCCUCAGUAUUACCGCGGCUGCUGGCACGGAGUUAGCCGGGGUUUCUUUACCAGAUACUGUCAUUAUCAUCUCUGGCGAAAGUGCUUUACGACCCUAAGGCCUUCAUCACACACGCGGCAUGGCUAGAUCAGGGUUUCCCCCAUUGUCUAAGAUUCCCUACUGCUGCCUCCCGUAGGAGUCUGGGCCGUGUCUCAGUCCCAGUGUGGCUGAUCAUCCUCUCAAACCAGCUAUAGAUCGUAGGCUUGGUAGGCCAUUACCCCACCAACUACCUAAUCUAACGCGGGCUAAUCCUUCUCCGAUAAAUCUUUCCCCCGAAGGGCGUAUAAGGUAUUACUCUCAGUUUCCCGAGGCUAUUCCUUAGAGAAGGGCAUAUUCCCACGCGUUACUCACCCGUCCGCCGCUCACCCCGAAGGGCGCGCUCGACUUGCAUGUAUUAGGCCUGCCGCCAGCGUUCGUUCUGAGCCAGGAUCAAACUCU